rnacentral:rRNA from 1 species
GACGAACGCUGGCGGCGUGCUUAACACAUGCAAGUCGAGCGGAAAGGCCCUUCGGGGUACUCGAGCGGCGAACGGGUGAGUAACACGUGAGUAACCUGCCCCAGACUUUGGGAUAACCCUCGGAAACGGGGGCUAAUACCGGAUACGACACAGCUUCGCAUGGGGUCUGUGUGGAAAGUUUUUCGGUUUGGGAUGGGCUCGCGGCCUAUCAGCUUGUUGGUGGGGUGAUGGCCUACCAAGGCGACGACGGGUAGCCGGCCUGAGAGGGCGACCGGCCACACUGGGACUGAGACACGGCCCAGACUCCUACGGGAGGCAGCAGUGGGGAAUAUUGCACAAUGGGCGGAAGCCUGAUGCAGCGACGCCGCGUGAGGGAUGACGGCCUUCGGGUUGUAAACCUCUAUCAGCAGGGACGAAGCGUAAGUGACGGUACCUGCAGAAGAAGCGCCGGCCAACUACGUG